rfam:Erinaceus europaeus unplaced genomic scaffold scaffold00394, whole genome shotgun sequence
GUAUGUGAGGUUGAUCUGGCUGCAACAUCUGUCACCCCAUUGAUCAUCUGGGUUGAUUUGGCUGAUCUGGCUGGCUAGGCAGGUGUCCCCUUCCUCCCUCACUGCUCCAUGUAUGUCCCUCCCAAAGGUGCACACUUGGUCAAAGAGGACAACCUACAGACUGGCCUUUGGUUGAGGUUAUAUGAGUAGCUGCACGUCUCUCCUAGAACCUCCAAACAAGCUUUCAAAAGGCCAAAUACUACACCAGAAACUAAACUCCCUAUCUUUGCUUCACCUUGCUGGGAACCUGAAGGAAG